GAAGGCAGGGCGACGAAGGCAGUAUUAUGCUGGGCAAUGUUCUGCUGCGAAACCUUGUGUCCUGACAUUCGUGUGGACAUUACCUUGACACUUAUCACCUACCUACAGACCACGUACACCCCUUCAUAGAGUGCCCUAAUGGCAGUGGCCUCUUCCAGCAGGAUAAUGCAAUCUACGACACUGCCAUUCUCCUCAAACCAUUCCUG